rnacentral:misc_RNA from 1 species
GGACCAAAUAGGUUGCCUGUGUUGUAUACCUGCGUUGAUGGAAUUCUCUCGUCCAAUCGCCCCUACUUUACCUUGUGCUGCUCGUGCGGUGCGGGAUGAACCGUGAAGUGUCUCUUUGUUGUCCGUUAUUGCCUCGCGCUUGCGCGGUGUAUGAAAUGGCCAACGUUGCGGCGCUCGAAUUCUCGGAUACAGAACCUUAAGCGGGCAAAGGCUUUUGGCCUCGAUUUGCCCAAAUUAAGCGUUCUCGCUUCUUACGAACGACUGUCGUGCUCGUUUUGACCUGAGGAUACUUUUGUUCCGACUGGCUC